rnacentral:rRNA from 1 species
GCAAGUCGAGCGGUAACAGGGGAGCUUGCUCCUGCUGACGAGCGGCGGACGGGUGAGUAACGCGUAGGAAUCUGCCUAGUAGAGGGGGACAACAUGUGGAAACGCAUGCUAAUACCGCAUACGCCCUUAGGGGGAAAGGAGGGGAUCUUAGGACCUUCCGCUAUUAGAUGAGCCUGCGUGAGAUUAGCUAGUUGGUUGGGUAAAGGCUCACCAAGGCGACGAUCCCUAGCUGGUCUGAGAGGAUGAUC